rnacentral:rRNA from 1 species
UGGGGAAUAUUGGACAAUGGGCGCAAGCCUGAUCCAGCCAUGCCGCGUGAGUGACGAAGGCCUUAGGGUUGUAAAGCUCUUUUGGCGGGGAAGAUAAUGACGGUACCCGCAGAAUAAGCUCCGGCUAACUUCGUGCCAGCAGCCGCGGUAAUACGAAGGGAGCUAGCGUUGUUCGGAAUCACUGGGCGUAAAGCGCACGUAGGUGGGCAGUUAAGUCAGGGGUGAAAGCCCGAGGCUCAACCUCGGAAUUGCCUCUGAUACUGGCUGUCUAGAGUCCGAGAGAGGUGGGUGGAAUUCCUAGUGUAGAGGUGAAAUUCGUAGAUAUUAGGAAGAACACCGGUGGCGAAGGCGGCCCACUGGCUCGGUACUGACACUGAGGUGCGAAAGCGUGGGGAGCAAACAGGAUUAGAUACCCCGGUAGUCCCUGAGCGGGCUGGCAAGGCGCAU